rnacentral:rRNA from 1 species
UGGGGAAUAUUGCACAAUGGGCGAAAGCCUGAUGCAGCAACGCCGCGUGAGUGAUGAAGGCCUUCGGGUUGUAAAGCUCUGUCUUUUGGGACGAUAAUGACGGUACCAAAGGAGGAAGCCACGGCUAACUACGUGCCAGCAGCCGCGGUAAUACGUAGGUGGCAAGCGUUGUCCGGAUUUACUGGGCGUAAAGGAUGCGUAGGCGGAUUUUUAAGUGAGAUGUGAAAUACCCGGGCUUAACUUGGGUGCUGCACUUCAAACUGGGAAUCUAGAGUGCGGGAGAGGAGAAUGGAAUUCCUAGUGUAGCGGUGAAAAUGCGUAGAGAUUAGGAAGAACACCAGUGGCGAAGGCGAUUCUCUGGACCGUAACUGACGCUGAGGCAUGAAGGCGUGGGUAGCAAACAGGAUUAGAUACCCUGGUAGUCCACGCCGUAAACGAUGAGUACUAGGUGUAGGAGGUAUCGACCCCUUCUGUGCCGCAGUUAACACAAUAAGUACUCCGCCUGGGAAGUACGAUCGCAAGAUU